CCCGGGAAGUCCUCGUGU
rnacentral:snRNA from 1 species